GGGGAGUACUCCUUCUAAGCUAAAUACGACCAUGAGACCGAUAGUAAACAAGUACCGUGUGGGAAAGUUGAAAAGCACUCUGAAUAGAGAGUCAAAAAGUACGUGAAACUGCCGAGGGUAUAAAGCCUGUUGAACUCAAUUAUCCGUUUUGCCGCAACUCAGGUCUGGCUGUCGGGGAUAUCGGGCAUACCCCCAGACUCCGGACCGAAUUUUGCUGGCAAGUGUGCGGACAUCGUGAUCCAUUACGCAAAACCAAUGCGAGCGGCAACGCGAGCAUAUCCGACACCAGGUCCCCGAACCCGCGGUCGACCCUCUAGUAGUGGCGCUCAGCUUAAGGCCGGCGCCGCGAACGGGGGAUCGAGGCCCCUGUGGUCUCGAGUUCGGCUAAGUUCAGGUGUGCCGUUGGAUGCGUGAUGGGCUUGAACAGAACUAGGGUAGUCGUGAAGCGCAUGUUUGGGCAUGUUCAAGGGCGCUUGCGCCUGAGUCGAUCACUACUCCGGAUCUACGAUGUACUAACUAGUUGAGGACCUACGGGACCCGUCUUGAAACACGGA
rnacentral:rRNA from 1 species